rnacentral:rRNA from 1 species
AGUGAACGCUGGCGGUAGGCCUAACACAUGCAAGUCGAACGGCAGCACAGUAAGAGCUUGCUCUUACGGGUGGCGAGUGGCGGACGGGUGAGGAAUACAUCGGAAUCUACUUUUUCGUGGGGGAUAACGUAGGGAAACUUACGCUAAUACCGCAUACGACCUACGGGUGAAAGCAGGGGAUCUUCGGACCUUGCGCGAUUGAAUGAGCCGAUGUCGGAUUAGCUAGUUGGCGGGGUAAAGGCCCACCAAGGCGACGAUCCGUAGCUGGUCUGAGAGGAUGAUCCGCCACACUGGAUCUGAGACACGGCCCAGACUCCUACGGGAGGCAGCAGUGGGGAAUAUUGGACAAUGGGCGCAAGCCUGAUCCAGCCAUACCGCGUGGGUGAAGAAGGCCUUCGGGUUGUAAAGCCCUUUUGUUGGGAAAGAAAAGCAGCAGGUUAAUACCCCGCUGUUCUGACGGUACCCAAAGAAUAAGCACCGGCUAACUUCGUG